CUCCCGGAUGUUAGCGGCGGACGGGUGAGUAACACGUGGGUAACCUGCCUGUAAGACUGGGAUAACUCCGGGAAACCGGAGCUAAUACCGGAUAGUUCCUUGAACCGCAUGGUUCAAGGAUGAAAGACGGUUUCGGCUGUCACUUACAGAUGGACCCGCGGCGCAUUAGCUAGUUGGUGGGGUAAUGGCUCACCAAGGCGACGAUGCGUAGCCGACCUGAGAGGGUGAUCGGCCACACUGGGACUGAGACACGGCCCAGACUCCUACGGGAGGCAGCAGUAGGGAAUCUUCCGCAAUGGACGAAAGUCUGACGGAGCAACGCCGCGUGAGUGAUGAAGGUUUUCGGAUCGUAAAGCUCUGUUGUUAGGGAAGAACAAGUGCGAGAGUAACUGCUCGCACCUUGACGGUACCUAACCAGAAAGCCACGGCUAACUACGUGCCAGCAGCCGCGGUAAUACGUAGGUGGCAAGCGUUGUCCGGAAUUAUUGGGCGUAAAGGGCUCGCAGGCGGUUUCUUAAGUCUGAUGUGAAAGCCCCCGGCUCAACCGGGGA
rnacentral:rRNA from 1 species